AUUGAACGCUGGCGGCAUGCUUUACACAUGCAAGUCGAACGGUAACAGGCCUUCGGGUGCUGACGAGUGGCGAACGGGUGAGUAAUGCAUCGGAACGUACCCAGAGGUGGGGGAUAACGCAGCGAAAGCUGUGCUAAUACCGCAUGUGAUCUGAGGAUGAAAGCGGGGGACCGAGCAGCAAUGUUUGGCCUCGCGCCUUUGGAGCGGCCGAUGUCGGAUUAGCUAGUUGGUGGGGUAAAGGCCUACCAAGGCGACGAUCCGUAGCUGGUCUGAGAGGACGACCAGCCACACUGGGACUGAGACACGGCCCAGACUCCUAAGGGAGGCAGCAGUGGGGAAUGUUGGACAAUGGGCGCAAGCCUGAUCCAGCAAUGCCGCGUGCGGGAAGAAGGCCUUCGGGUUGUAAACCGCUUUUGGCAGGAACGAAACGGUGUCCGCUAAUACCGGGCGCUAAUGACGGUACCUGCAGAAUAAGCACCGGCUAACUACGUG
rnacentral:rRNA from 1 species